AAAAACCUAAAGGAAAUGAGGGAGUAAGUCAAAUACAUGUGGUGGAAGAGCAUUCCAGGCAACAGGAUUGGGAAUACAGGCCUGAAUGAGACAUAAGUGAUCUCAGAGUGGGCAGAGAUCGGGAGAAAGCAUGAGUGGUUGGAGCUGUGAGGCUAUUCGGGGAAAGUGUUGGCAACAAGAUGGGUGACCAGUGUGUGGCCAGAUAUUACAGUGUUUUGAGGCCCAGAUUGCUUUUACUGAAAGAAUGCAACAAAGAGAGCUGCCAAGAAAAUACAAUUAUUCCCCCAAAUAGUUCAAAGAACUAUGCCAGUCACUACCAGGAUACUCUGUUCUUGAGACUGAUUUUAACUCCACCAGGCCUGCCCUAAAAGAGCUCCUGAAGGAAGCACUAAACAUGGAAAGGAACAACCGUUACCAGCCGCUGCAAAAUCAUGCCAAAAUGUAAAGACCAUCGAGCCUAGGAAGAGACUGCAUCAACUAACGAGCAAAAUAACCAGCUAACAUCAUAAUGACAAGAUCAAAUUCACACAUAACAAUAUUAACUUUAAAUGUAAAUGGACUAAAUGCUCCAAUUAAAAGACACAGACUGGCAAAUUGGAUAAAGACUCAAGACCCAUCAGUGUGCUGUAUUCAGGAAACCCAUCUCACGUGCAGAGACACACAUAGGCUCAAAAUAAAAAGAUGGAGGAAGAUCUACCAAGCAAAUGGAAAACAAAAAAAGGCAGGAGUUGCAAUCCUAGUCUCUGAUAAAACAGACUUUAAACCAACAAAGAUCAAAAGAGACAAACAAGGCCAUUACAUAAUGGUAAAGGGAUCAAUUCAACAAGAAGAGCUAACUAUCCUAAAUAUAUAUGCACCCAAUACAGAAGCACCCAGAUUCAUAAAGCAAGUCCUGAGUGACCUACAAAGAGACUUAGACUCCCACACAUUAAUAUUGGGAGACUUUAACACCCCACUGUCAACAUUAGACAGAUGAACGAGACAGAAAGUCAACAAGGAUACCCAGGAAUUGAGCUCAGCUCUGCACCUAGCGGACCUAAUAGACAUCUACAGAACUCUCCACCCCAAAUCAACAGAAUAUACAUUUUUUUCAGCACCACACCACACCUAUUCCAAAAUUGACCACAUACUUGGAAGUAAAGCUCUCCUCAGCAAAUCUAUAAUUUCUCAAAACUUCUGUCAGGCGAAAAUUAGCAUUUGCUGUCAUCAGUACGCCAGGAAUUUAAGAAAUGUUCUCAAAAACGAGUAGCAUUGGAAAUAUAAAAUAUUUAUUUUUUUAACUUACUAAAUAUUUAUUUUUAUAACUUACUUUGUUUUAAUUUGGCCUCUAAUCUUAGCUUAUUAGUCUGAGAAAAGCUUUUAUUGAAUUUCACAAGUAAUUCUCACAUUUAUUACAUGUAAUGGCAUUCAUAAGCAUAUUAAAACUGUGAUUGGGAUUAUUUUAAAUGCAUUUAUUUCAUCUUAAAAAAAUGACAAACUCAGAUAUUAUGCAUGGUUUCUGAAGAAGAAAAUAUAGUCUGACAGCAAAUGGUAAAUGUGGGAAGUAGGAAGUAAUUGGGAUCAUGUGAAUAAUGAGUUAAAAAUAUGUGGAUCAGUCUUUGGAAAAAUUUUGUAGUGUUCAUCCUUCUGAAUCCUACUGAAAAAAAAAUCAUCCUAACGAUGAUUUCACACUAUUUUCAGAGAAAGGUGCUUUCAUGCUAUUAUGAAUUUCCACAGAGCCACAGGGUCUGAGAUAGAAUUACAUGAAAAGGGCAUUAUGCAAUAAGAUACCGUGGCAUGCCAGGAGCCCAGUGUAGAUUAAAAACAAGUAGAGUUCUUUCAGAUUUUUGGCACCUUUGGAGUGAAUUAAACCCAGAUAGUUCAUGAGAAUAUCUUAAUUUUCCUCACAGAAUUUUAAUUCCAAAAGGAUAUUGGGGUAUAAUGUAGCUAACCUAUACAUCAGUUUGAAGACCGGAGGAUACUGAAAUACUUUAAAAAGAUAGCAAGUUCCACUAAUAAAAAUUACUCUGGCUUCCCGUUUAAUUGUCAGUGUGUUGACAAUGUGAUAAUGUGUCAGGUGUCUUAUGUGGCAGGCAGAUCAUUUUAAUUCAUCAUAAAGAAAGUGAUGUCUCUUUUUAGUCAGCCAUGUGGCCUUUCCUACCACUUUGUGUUCUCUGGAUCAAAUUUCAUUUCAGGAUUGCUUACAAUUCUCUAAUAAAGAUAUGGCCAUGAUACAAAAGCCUCCCAUUUCCUGAAUGUUAUAUCUAUUUGGAAUCCCUUUUUCCUAUUUCAUUUUCAUACUACAUUGGAAUUCUUAUGUCUAUUUGGCUACAACCGGUAGCUCUCCUUUUAGCUACUUCUAAGGGGUCCUUUUCUUUUAUUUCUGGAAAUUAUUUUCCUGCCCAAAUGAAUUAUCCUCCACUUUGUCCCUAUUGAACUCAAUUUGAUUUACGUCUUCCCACUUGACCAAUUUGUCAAGAUGUUUUGACUUUAAAUCCUAUUCUACGAUAAGAAAGUCAGUCCACCCAAGCAGAUGUCAUCAGCAUAAACAGACUUUGUAUUAAUUCAGGUGACUAAUAGAAAAGUGUCUGUUUCAUGCCUGGGAGACUUCAAUUUGAAUGGUCUAUUCUCAGUUAAUUUUAAAAUACUGACAACUACUGAGAUAAAAUGUAUUACACAAAAGGAAAAUGUGAUACAAAAAAUUAUUUAUUUCUGGGAUACUCUAUAUAUCAUGCUAGAUUAAGUUAAAAUACAUCAAAUCUAAUUUUUGUCAGUCUAAUCAUUCUAAAGCAAGUGAAAUCAAUUAACUGAUGGGUUUUUGGAAAUUUUUACUGAUUGUUUUUCUGUAUUUGUUUCGGAUUGAGGCAGGGGAGGAAGGCUGGCAAUGUUUCCAAGCAUUUCUGCUUAGAAUAUGAAACAAAUGAAAAACAAUGUGAUAAAGUUAUAAGUAGGACUAAGGCACCCCAUGCGUGUGCAAUCAUGCAUGAUGCAAAAUACAUUACGUUAAUAGCAUCCUUUACUUCUUACAUUAGUCCCAUUAGGACUGACGACUCUGAUUAGCUUGUUUAGCUUAUAUUUCACAUCAGAGACUCUGCAUAUUCAGACUAUAAAACCAUUGUUGGAUUAACUUACAUAUAUCAGACAUAAAUUUAAAAAUGUAUGACUAUUUUAUUUUCCUCACUGUGGUGAAUACUAUUAUUUAAUACUUUUUUCCUACUUUUAUCUGUGGCUUCAUAAAACACACAAAAAAUUCCAUUAACUGUAUUCUUCAAAUUAGAGAAAUAGCUUAAUAUAUGCCCAUUCUUAGGUGCCCUUUGAUUGCACAAGGAUUUAUUUUUUUCCUGCCGUAAUAAAAAAAUUCAGAAAUGAAAAAAUGUAAAUAAUCCACUAAUUAUAAUCAUCUGGACUUGCAAAAGUGCAGAUAGAUUUGAGACUUUGUUAAUUAUUGAUACUGAAAUCUAUAAAAAUUAAGAAAAUUAAUGUAGGGAGACCAAAGUUAUUUACAAAGGAUCAUUUAUUAAACACAUUUUAAAAACAAAAUACAAAGAUUGUUGUUCUGCAUGAAUACAUCACAUAUGAAAAAAAUAAUGUGUUUUUACCAAAUUUAAUUUGAAGAUAUUCAGAAUUUUGUUUUCUAUCAACUUGAGCAAUCAGUUUCACUUUGCACCUUGUCUAACACUGUUGUCAAUCAGGAAGAAAUGUUUUCUUGUUAAUUAAAUCAUAUUCAUACAGCUAAUAUUUUACAGAAAUAAAAUAAGACAAUGUCGGUCAUACAAAGCUCUUUCUGCAAGGUAACUGAUUUGCCUAUGAUCCUAAUUUUUUUAAGCUAUAAGAUAGGAAGAAUUCAGGAGCUAGGUAAGUUUUAUAAUAAUGUAUUAGCAGCAGUUGAUAGUAAAUGCAACAUAAGAUUUGUUUUGUCUGUGGUACAAGAAUAUGUCCUAUCAGACUCUACUGUAUUUUUCUCUACUUGAACACAGGUAAGCACAUACUGAUUGUCUCUGGGAUGACAAAAUGUAUAAAAAAGACAAGAAACUGGCUCUGGUUGUCAUUGUGAGUGCCUAUUUUCAUCAGCUAAUAUGAAUGCAUUGCUAAAUUAGUGAAGACAGGAAAAUGACUUAAGGGUAAUAUAUACAGAGUUAAAAUACACUUUUUAUCCACUUGAGUGAAUUCAGGCACUGUGGCUGUUCAGGAUAAAAUGUUUCAUGGUUUAUUCUUGAUAGCAAUUUAAUUUUCAGUGCAAGCAAAAGCAAAUACCUGCCCACUGUAAUACACAUGAUCUCACACAUCUGGAAUGUUCAAUGCAAGUUCAUCCUCGGCAUCUUCACUCUGGAGACAUCUUGAAUAAAAACGUUCAUAGUUUGCUCUUGACAGCAAUGUAAUUUUCAGUGCAAGCAAAAGCAAACGCAUACCUGCUCACUGCCAUACACACGACCAAACACAUCUGGAAUAUUCAAAGCAAGUUCACCUUCUCCAUCUUCACUGUGGAAGCUCUUUAAUAAGUGGCACUUUGUGUAAACCCUCUAUAAAUCAUGAAAAACAGAUUCGAAAUGCCUGGAUUUAAUAAUAUUAAACAUCACUGCCAUAGUCAUCUCUCUGUGUAAACGAUGUUUGGGUAAGGCUUGCCAUCACAACAUUUCUUUCCUGAGAAUGGAGCUGGUCCUCUGUUUAUAUCAUAAGUGCGCAUGCUCUGAGCUGUGGUCACUGUCGUGACUGUCUUCAUUUGCUAGAGAGUCCCCUGUUUGCUGGAGGGUGGCUGCACCAAUUCCCGACAGCUCUGAUGGGAGAAGUGUUCCCUUUUUCACAUUCACCAG